GAAGGAGAUAGAGGAAGAGGAGAUGGCGCCGCCCUUGUUACCGUCGCCGAGGCUGCGAAGGUAGUGGAGGAGGUGAUGGUGGAGGAGAUGAUGAGAAUUGGAGUGGAAAAAAAUAAAGGAAAAAAAAGAAGAGAAAGAAAGGAAAAAAGGUAUUUUGGUGAGUUUGUUGAAAAUUUGGUCCGAAUCUGUAAAAUCAGAAAAGAUGGCCCAAUUUGCAAAAGCUCAAAACUUAUGAAUUUUUUAUGCAAAUUAGCCAAAAAUUAAUCUCGUAAUUGAUCAAAAAUAUUAAUUUUGGACCUUAUAACAUUCAAGUAACUCAUCAAAACCUCUGAAAAAGAAAGCCAA
rnacentral:lncRNA from 1 species